CCUACGGGUGGCAGCAGUAGGGAAUAUUGCUCAAUGGGGGAAACCCUGAAGCAGCAACGCCGCGUGGAGGAUGAAGGUUUUCGGAUUGUAAACUCCUUUUGUUAGAGAAGAUAAUUACGGUAUCUAACGAAUAAUCACUGGCUAACUUCGUUCAAGCAGCCGCGGUAAUACGGAGGAUGCCAGCGUUAUUCGGAAUCACUGGGCGUAAAGAGCGCGUAGGCGGGUUAGCAAGUCAGAGGUGAAAUCCUAUGGCUUAACCAUAGAACUGCAUUUGAAACUGUUAUUCUAGAGUAUAGGAGAGGUAGGUGGAAUGCUUGGUGUAGGGGUGAAAUCCGUAGAGAUCAAGAGGAAUACUCAUUGCGAAGGCAGCCUGCUAGAACAUAACUGACGCUGAUGCGCGAAAGCGUGGGGAGCAAACAGGAUUAGAUACCCUUGUAGUC
rnacentral:rRNA from 1 species